UACGUAGGGUGCAAGCGUUGUCCGGAAUUAUUGGGCGUAAAGGGCUCGUAGGCGGUUCGUCACGUCGGGAGUGAAAACUCGGGGCUUAACCCCGAGCCUGCUUCCGAUACGGGCAGACUAGAGGUAGGCAGGGGAGAGCGGAACUCCUGGUGUAGCGGUGGAAUGCGCAGAUAUCAGGAAGAACACCGGUGGCGAAGGCGGCUCUCUGGGCCUUACCUGACGCUGAGGAGCGAAAGCGUGGGUAGCGAACAGG
rnacentral:rRNA from 1 species